rnacentral:lncRNA from 1 species
CUCAACAUUAAUUCCUUCAAUUAUAACCACAUAAAAUAAAUAAAUCCAUCAUUUAUAUCUGCAUCAAAUAAAUAUUUCCUUAUCAAUAAUUAAUUAUUCAUAAAUAAUAUUACAGAAUCACAAUAAUGACAACCAGGCAGUUCCCAGGAAAGAGGGGGCUUUUCAAUAAGGAUUUCUCCUUACUAGCGCGUAAUUAGGUGACCAAACCUCUCCUUGACAGAACUUUCUAGACAUUGCCAAUAAUGCUAUCUAAUAUUAUUAUUCAAAUAAUAUCAAUUAUUGAUCUGAUAAUGGAAAAUACUGUGCAGUGACAAUUAUUGAAACAACAAUAAUAUAAAAUAUCAACGCAACAAUUAUUGAAUCAAUAAAAUAGAAUAUUGAACAGUAAUUACUGUAACAAUUAUUGAGUAGUGCAUUCUUACGUAAGAAUCAAUAAUUCAAAAAUACUGUGCAAUACCGUGUCCUACUAUGCAACAACGCAUAUUACUGUAUUUUAUCCACCGGGUAUUCCAACAGUGUUAAUGGUAACUACUGCGCCGUUAUUUAUAAAAACUCAAACUUGUCAUUUUCUUCAUUCGACAGUUAUUCUGUUGUGGGGCUCACAAAUGACUGCGCCGUCGUACGAAUAUUCUCCGACAAUAAGAAUAUUCCACGACCAAAUGAAUAUUCCCCGACAGAAAUGAGUAUUUUAUAACCACUUGCGUAUUUUGAAAAUUUUACAUAUAUCACCCUUAACUUUAAACUUUUAUCAAUUUAACCAUUUACUGAAUAAUAAUUAUAAGAAAAAUUGAAUACUUUUAUUUCAUAAAAUCUGAGGUCUUACAAUCUCCUCUCCUUAUGAAAUUUUGUCCCCGAAAUUUACGUACCUGUUAUUUCAAAGAGUUGAGAAUACCUUGCUUUCAUCUCAGAUUCCAUCUUUCAUGUCCUCAUGAUUUCUCCAAUGCUCAAUACCUGUAUUUUAGAUAUCAUUCUAGAAUACAGCUUCAAAAUAAAGGUUAAUUGACAUAUCACAAUUUGUCAACUUAAGUAAGAAAAUUCAGCUUAGGUAGGACACACACUAGCGAAGGAUAUUACUCGUCUCUCCCUUCCUAGUUCUAAUUUUGGAUCUCCGCCAGAGAUCAUAUCCCUAAGCUCUGAUACCAACUGUGAUGCCCCCAAAAUAGGUCCAAUCCAUCCAACCAAUUCUGAGUCACCAAAUACAUGGUACAGAAAACAACUACAACUUUAUUACUAUAAUUGUCGUACAAAAUACAACAACACAUAUACUGUGAGUUUUAAUACCAACUGUGACUCAUGUCCCAACUAUGGACAUCACCUCACAUUGAUACAUUACAUAAAUGUACAGUCAAUAACUGUUUUAGAAAUUAAAAUCUUUGAGAAGUGCUCAAGGAAACCUUCGUACAUGGGAGGCCAUGCGUCUAGGUUAUGAUAGAUCUCAUAUGUCUAGAGAAUUAUCCUUGGUUGAUCCAAUAGACCCCAAAGAAAAACGAGAAGAUUACUAUCAUGUUCCUUCCAAUUGUGAGUCUUCUCUUGACAUAUAACUAUCUCCACCGUCUGCAAUUGAACAUUAUGUUUAAACCAAACUCCAAGAUCAUAUAGGUAGUGCUCGUAGAUAUACUCAGCAAGUGGAUGUGCACAACCCUGUCUUAUGAUAACACGAGGUUGUAUGUCAUUAGACAUCUUAUAUGAUAGUGAGAAAACACCCUUCCAAAGUUGGGUUCGCCUCACCCUAUUCGGUUCACCAAAAUUAAAUAUCAAAUAACGUAUAAAAUAAGACACACUUAUCUAAAGUUCUCAAUAAAAUUAUUUUCAUACUAUUUAGGGAGAACCUCAACAGCUAUAGACCACUGUUCUAUUUCUCUGUUAUCCCCGCUCGACCCGGCAACACUCUUAUUACCUGAAAGAAAUUUUGAAGUAAAAGGGUGAACACAACUAGCUCAGUAAAUAAUAUCAUGACUAAAGAUAAUUAAAUUAUCAAUAGCCUUCAUCAGUAAUAAAUUAGAGAUUUAGAACAUAUGGUAGAUGAUAAAACUUUUCAACCAUAGUUGCAACGGAACGAGCAAUCCAUUAGAAGAGUCAAAUAGACCAUAAAGUCUAUUAUCUUCUCUAUGUUAAAAGUCCACCAACAAUGCUUUAACCCUGUAACAUUAAUCAACAGAUCAUGUUCACAGUCAUGUGAAUAACUCAUAAUCAUAAUUGUAGUUCUAAUUUUCUCUUCUCAUCCAAGACGAAGAUAUUUUUCAUCACAGGUCUUUACCUGAAACAUCAAAGAUCAUGGUUAUACCAAAUCACAGUUCCUGUUCAUAAUCAUAAUAAUAAGUUUAUCUUUGCACUACGGGCCAAAAAUAUUCAUUAACAGGUCCUCUUUGCACUACAGGCCAACGAUAUUCAACAACAGGUCAUCUUUGCACUACACGCCAAAGAUAUUCAACAACAGGUCAUCUUUGCACUACAGACCAAAGAUAUUCAACAACAAUUCAUCUUUGCACUACAGGCCAAAGAUAUUAAUAUCUCAAAGAGAUACAUAAUCAUUUCAGAAUUUAUAUAAACAAUAAUUAUAACCAUGUUAAUCAAUUCACCUUUGCACAUAAGCUAAAAAU